GCUCAGGAUGAACGCUGGCGGUCUGCUUAACACAUGCAAGUCGAACGGGCUCUUCGGAGCUAGUGGCGGACGGGUGAGUAACGCGUGAGAAUCUAGCUUCAGAAUGGGGACAACAGAGGGAAACCGCUGCUAAUACCCGAUGUGCCGAGAGGUGAAAGAUUUAUCGUCUGAAGAUGAGCUCGCGUCCGAUUAGCUAGUUGGUAGGGUAAGAGCCUACCAAGGCGACGAUCGGUAGCUGGUCUGAGAGGAUGACCAGCCACACUGGGACUGAGACACGGCCCAGACUCCUACGGGAGGCAGCAGUGGGGAAUUUUCCGCAAUGGGCGAAAGCCUGACGGAGCAAGACCGCGUGAGGGAGGAAGGCUCUUGGGUUGUAAACCUCUUUUCUCUGGGAAGAAGAUCUGACGGUACCAGAGGAAUCAGCAUCGGCUAACUCCGUGCCAGCAGCCGCGGUAAUACGGAGGAUGCAAGCGUUAUCCGGAAUUAUUGGGCGUAAAGCGUCCGUAGGUGGCCGUUCAAGUCUGCCGUUAAAACCAGUAGCUUAACUACUGACAGGCGGUGGAAACUGAACAGCUAGAGCGUGGUAGGGGUAGAGGGAAUUCCCAGUGUAGCGGUGAAAUGCGUAGAGAUUGGGAAGAACACCGGUGGCGAAAGCGCUCUGCUGGACCACAACUGACACUCACAGGACGAAAGCUAGGGGAGCGAAAGGGAUUAGAUACCCCUGUAGUCCUAGCCGUAAACGAUGGAUACUAGGUGUUGUGAGUAUCGACCCUCACAGUGCCGGAGCCAACGCGUUAAGUAUCCCGCCUGGGGAGUACGCACGCAAGUGUGAAACUCAAAGGAAUUGACGGGGGCCCGCACAAGCGGUGGAGUAUGUGGUUUAAUUCGAUGCAACGCGAAGAACCUUACCAGGGCUUGACAUGUCGCGAAUCUUGGGGAAACCUAAGAGUGCCUUCGGGAGCGCGAACACAGGUGGUGCAUGGCUGUCGUCAGCUCGUGUCGUGAGAUGUUGGGUUAAGUCCCGCAACGAGCGCAACCCUCGUUUUUAGUUGCCAGCAUUAAGUUGGGCACUCUAAAGAGACUGCCGGUGACAAACCGGAGGAAGGUGGGGAUGACGUCAAGUCAGCAUGCCCCUUACGUCCUGGGCUACACACGUACUACAAUGCUACGGACAAAGGGCAGCAAGUUAGCGAUGACAAGCAAAUCCCAUAAACCGUGGCUCAGUUCAGAUUGUAGGCUGCAACUCGCCUACAUGAAGGCGGAAUCGCUAGUAAUCCCAGGUCAGCAUACUGGGGUGAAUUCGUUCCCGGGCCUUGUACACACCGCCCGUCACACCAUGGGAGUUGGCCACGCCCGAAGUCGUUAUCCUAACCUGCAAAGGAAGGAGAUGCCGAAGGUGGGGCUGAUGACUGGGGUGAAGUCGUAACAAGGUAGCCGUACCGGAAGGUGUGGCUGGAUCACCUCCUUUUUAGGGAGACCUAACCCAAAUGAUGACCGAAAACUUGUAAACAGGUCACGUUUGAGGUCAUACCUAGGUCGAACGAGAAUGGCUGGCUUUCAAACUAGAUUUAGGUUUGGUUCAUGGGCUAUUAGCUCAGGUGGUUAGAGCGCACCCCUGAUAAGGGUGAGGUCCCUGGUUCAAGUCCAGGAUGGCCCACCUGAAACACAAAGAAUUGUGGGGGUAUAGCUCAGUUGGUAGAGCGCUGUCCUUGCACGGCAGAUGUCAGCGGUUCGAGUCCGCUUACCUCCACCAAAAAAAGCUCUGAGAGCAAAGAAUUGAAAAAAUUAAAUGCUCUUGUCAACGCUCAGAAGAGAUGAUAGACUAGAAAGAGUGACAAUUGAUGAAUCAGCACCUCUAGUGGUCAAAACCGAACCAAAGAGAAUGCUGGCGACAUCAGCCAGUAAGAACCUAGAAAACUGCAUAGUAAGAGAGAAAUAGGAAACAAAUAGCAGGU
rnacentral:rRNA from 2 species